GAUGAACGCUGGCGGCGUGCUUAACACAUGCAAGUCGAACGAUGAAGCCCAGCUUGCUGGGUGGAUUAGUGGCAAACGGGUGAGUAACACGUGAGUAACCUGCCCUUGACUCUGGGAUAAGCCUGGGAAACUGGGUCUAAUACUGGAUAUGACUUCUCAUCGCAUGGUGGGGGGUGGAAAGAUUUAUUGGUCUUGGAUGGACUCGCGGCCUAUCAGCUUGUUGGUGAGGUAAUGGCUCACCAAGGCGACGACGGGUAGCCGGCCUGAGAGGGUGACCGGCCACACUGGGACUGAGACACGGCCCAGACUCCUACGGGAGGCAGCAGUGGGGAAUAUUGCACAAUGGGCGCAAGCCUGAUGCAGCGACGCCGCGUGAGGGAUGACGGCCUUCGGGUUGUAAACCUCUUUCAGUAGGGAAGAAGCGAGAGUGACGGUACCUGCAGAAGAAGCGCCGGCUAACUACGUG
rnacentral:rRNA from 1 species